GACAGUUCUAUCACAUAAAGAAGAAGGAGCAGAGUUUUUAAGAUAGUUAAUGACCUCCCCUCUUUUCUGAUGACAGGAAUUGCAGGAAGCAGAGCUUCUUGGGAGAAAAUAAUGUCACUAGGAACUCAAUUUGACUCGGUUGAUUCUACACUUGUGGUCCUGAGAGCCGGAAGAGAUGCUGUGGAAAGAAGCGACAUGGGAAUUUAUACUCUGUGGUUUCCAAGUGAUGUCAAAACAAUUUUGUCACUGGCCCCUCACUCAAAAGACCUCAUUUUGGCUCUCAAUAUGAUC
rnacentral:lncRNA from 1 species